UACGUAGGGUGCGAGCGUUGUCCGGAAUUAUUGGGCGUAAAGAGCUCGUAGGCGGUCUGUCGCGUCGGUCGUGAAAACUUGGGGCUUAACCCUGAGCUUGCGGUCGAUACGGGCAUGACUGGAGUUCGGUAGGGGAGACUGGAAUUCCUGGUGUAGCGGUGAAAUGCGCAGAUAUCAGGAGGAACACCGGUGGCGAAGGCGGGUCUCUGGGACGGUACUGACGCUAAGGCGCGAAAGCGUGGGGAGCGAACAGG
rnacentral:rRNA from 1 species